GGAUGCGAUCAUACCAGCACUAAAGCACCGGAUCCCAUCAGAACUCCGAAGUUAAGCGUGCUUGGGCGAGAGUAGUACUAGGAUGGGUGACCCCCUGGGAAGUCCUCGUGUUGCAUCCCUUCCUCUUUUUUCUUUUUUUUUUUCCCUUUGAAAUCCGAUUUAAUUUUUCCGGUUCGAUCGGCGAAUCUUUUUGUUUUUCGUCUUGGCGGAAACGAGAAAUGGGGGCGAGUCGCGCGUGCGGGGUGUGACGGGCGGCGCAGGAGAAGGAGGCUUAAUAGAUUUUGGAGUGCUGGGAAUGAC
rnacentral:rRNA from 1 species